UCUAGCGAGCCAACCUCCCACCCGUGUUUACUGUAACCUUAGUUGCUUCGGCGGGCCCGCCUUUAAGGCCGCCGGGGGGCAUCAGCCCCCGGGCCCGCGCCCGCCGGAGACACCACGAACUCUGUCUGAUCUAGUGAAGUCUGAGUUGAUUGUAUCGCAAUCAGUUAAAACUUUCAACAAUGGAUCUCUUGGUUCCGGCAUCGAUGAAGAACGCAGCGAAAUGCGAUAACUAGUGUGAAUUGCAGAAUUCCGUGAAUCAUCGAGUCUUUGAACGCACAUUGCGCCCCCUGGUAUUCCGGGGGGCAUGCCUGUCCGAGCGUCAUUGCUGCCCAUCAAGCACGGCUUGUGUGUUGGGUCGUCGUCCCCUCUUCGGGGGGGACGGGCCCCAAAGGCAGCGGCGGCACCGCGUCCGAUCCUCGAGCGUAUGGGGCUUUGUCACCCGCUCUGUAGGCCCGGCCGGCGCUUGCCGAACGCAAAACAACCAUUCUUUCCAGGUUGACCUCGGAUCAGGUAGGGAUACCCGCUGAACUUAAGCAUAUCAAUAAGGCGGAGGA
rnacentral:rRNA from 1 species